rnacentral:rRNA from 1 species
AUUGAACGCUGGCGGCAUGCUUUACACAUGCAAGUCGAACGGCAGCACGGGGGCGAACCCUCGGUGGCGAGUGGCGAACGGGUGAGUAACACAUCGGAACGUGCCCAGUUGUGGGGAGUAACCUAUCGAAGGUAGGCUAAUACCGCAUGAGGCUCGGCAAGAGGAAAGCGGGGGACUCAGCGAUGGGCCUCGCGCGACUGGAGCGGCCGAUGUCCGAUUAGCUAGNGGUGGGGUAAGGCUUACCAAGGCGACGAUCGGUAGCUGGUCUGAGAGGAUGGAUCAGCCACACUGGGACUGAGGACACGGCCCAGACUCCCACGGGAGGCAGCAGUGGGAAUUUUGGACAAUGGGGCAACCCUGAUCCAGCCAUGCCGCGUGAGUGAAGAAGGCC